AAGAAUUGCAUUAAGGGCAGAUGGUGGAUGCCUUGGGAUAUCGAGGCGAUGAAGGACGUGGCGUGACUGCGAUAAGCCUCGGGGAGGUGUUUAGCAACCUUUGAUCCGGGGAUUUCCGAAUGGGGAAACCUGAGUGCCUCUUAGGCACUCGGUCCGCCGAUUAGGCGGACGGCGAACCCGCUGAAGUGAAACAUCUCAGUAAGCGGAGGAAAAGAAACCAAUGAUCAUAAAGAUCUUAUUCCCUUAGUAGCGGCGAGCGAAAAGGGAAGAGCCUAAACCAAACACAUAACUUGUUAUGUAUUUGGGGUUGUAAGGAAAUAUCGUCUGGAGCCGAGUACAUAAACUUUUAUGUGCUUGGUUCAAGAGGGAGAACACUUAGGUAAAGUUUCGUUAGUUGAAUGACCCUGGAAAGGGCAACCAAAGAGGGUAAUAGUCCCGUAAAUGAAAACGACUUUAUGCUCCUUGAUAUUUUACUUGAGUACCUUGGGAAAUGAAAAUCCUGAGGGAAGCAGGCCGAACUAUCGGCCAAGGCUAAAUACUACGAUAUCACCAAUAGUGAACCAGUACCGUGAGGGAAAGGUGAAAAGUAGCGAGGUGAUCGCGGUGAAAUAGAACCUGAAACCAUUUUGCCCACAAGGAGUCGGAGGGACGUAACGCGCAAGCGUGUACGUUCUGACGGCGUGCCUAUUGAAGAAUGAGCCAACGAGUUCGAGUACGUAGCUUGUCUAAAUCCUUUU
rnacentral:rRNA from 1 species